AGUUGACUUUGUUUAUGCAAGUCUAACGGAAAAAUUACUACAAUCUUAAUUCCUUUUUAAAUGAGAGGCUCAUAAGCCUGAGCUACAUAUGAUAGAAAUACAUAGUAUUCUUUUUGAUGCAUCAUAAAUUUUUAAAGUAAAAAUUAUAAGAAUUUGAAAUUUAAUUUUUUGCGUAUAUUAUCAGAUAAACAUUUAAUUAUGAAACUAUUAAUUUAAUAGUCAAUUUUAAAUUGCAUCAAUCUAAGUUUGAUGAUACAAACAAUUAUUCUUUCUUUGUUCAGGUUCUCUUUCUGGUCUUUCUUCUCUAUUCUCCUGAACUCUAUUUUCUGUCACUUUUCUCAAGAAAGUUCAUUUGAUACAACUUUGGUUGUAUCAUAGAUAAUCAUACAAAUGAGCUUAAUUUUGUUCUUAUAUAAAUUUAUUUAUAUAUAAGUGUGCAUACACCUUCAUUGUAUAGUU
rnacentral:misc_RNA from 1 species